rnacentral:tRNA from 1 species
GUUAAAAUGGCUGAAAAAAAGCAAUAAACUGUAAAUUUAUGAAUGAACUAUGUUCUUUUAACA